rnacentral:rRNA from 1 species
CCUACGGGAGGCAGCAGUGAGGAAUAUUGGACAAUGGGUGAAAGCCUGAUCCAGCCAUCCCGCGUGCAGGAAGACGGCCCUAUGGGUUGUAAACUGCUUUUAUCUGGGGAUAAACCUACUUACGUGUAAGUAGCUGAAGGUACCAGAAGAAUAAGCACCGGCUAACUCCGUGCCAGCAGCCGCGGUAAUA